UACGUAGGGGGCUAGCGUUGUCCGGAAUUAUUGGGCGUAAAGCGUCCGCAGGUGGUUAAUCAAGUCUGCUGUCAAAGCGCGAGGCUCAACUUCGUAAAGGCAGUGGAAACUGAUUGACUUGAGUUUGGUAGGGGUAGAGGGAAUUCCCAGUGUAGCGGUGAAAUGCGUAGAUAUCGUGAGGAACACCAGAGGCGAAGGCGGCUACCUGGACAAUUGCUGACG
rnacentral:rRNA from 1 species